GUUAAAUCGACAGGCCACCUGCAGGGAUGCAGCAAGGCUUUAAAGGGACAGGCUUCGUAUGCAUGGGAUGCUUUUGUUACAGCACAUGGAGAGAAGAAGACGGGCUGUCAUCUCCAGCGAAGCGUCCUCCGAAGCGCAUCAGCAAAGCCACGUUUUCACUAAACUGUGAGGAGAAGCGCUGACAUCAUCUGUUGGUGGUGUGUUUCCACUUGUUAACCAUUC
rnacentral:lncRNA from 1 species